rnacentral:rRNA from 1 species
UACGGAGGGUGCAAGCGUUAAUCGGAAUUACUGGGCGUAAAGCGCGCGUAGGUGGUUCGUUAAGUCACACGUGAAAUCCCUCGGCUCAACCGGGGAACUGCGUGUGAUACUGGCGGGCUUGAAUUCGGGAGAGGGAUGUGGAAUUCCAGGUGAAGCGGUGAAAUGCGUAGAGAUCGGGCGGAACACCAGCGGCGAAGGCGGCAUCCUGGCCCUUACCUGACGCUGAGGCGCGAGAGCGUGGGGAGCAAACCGG